rfam:Schistocephalus solidus strain NST_G2 genome assembly, scaffold: SSLN_scaffold0012637
GAGCCCGUAGCUCAAUGGUAGAGCGUUCGACUCAAAUACCAAAAGUCUCGGGUUCGAAUCCCAAGUGUUCC